rnacentral:lncRNA from 1 species
UAUUUUAGUAUCUUUUAAUUUUUUUUUAUAUAUUUAGUAUAUUUUCAUUUUAUUUGUCUAAUUAUGACCGGAAGAAUUAAAUACUUCGUUUGUUAGAUUUAUUUCUAAACCUUUAGAUUAUUCUAGAUGUAAUUUUAGCUUAGAUUUAUAUUAUUUUACAUUUAUUUCUUAUUUAAUUUUUUUUAUCUUUGAUUUGUUUCGUAUAUACUACUUUGCGUCAACUAAAAAAAAAAAGGCUACACUGAUCGUCCUUAGAAUAAGGGGCAAAGGGCUUGGUGGUUGGUAUUUGAGAUCCCAAGUUCGAAUCCUAGUUGAUUCACAUUUUCAGCUAAAUUAUUUCUAAAUGAAAUAAACGAAGCGAGUAGUGUGCUACGUAUCUCUCCAAAAAAAAAAAAGAAAAAAAAGGCUAUUCUAAGUGAUGUUAAUUAAUUAUUGUGAGGGUUAACAUGAUAACAUAAUUAGGUUAUAGGGAUACACGUUUGUGAUACUUUUGUGUAAAUGUCCCAUUUAUAUCAAAACUUAAAAAAAUCUACUUUUGCCAAACUAUAAAACUCAAUCCAACCAAAAAUAAAAGGUUACUCUACUCAACCCACCCCACCUAGUCCAUUCGGCCCGAUUACAAACAUAAAAGAAAAAAAAAAAGGAAAAAUCGAUUAUUAUUUCCCCUUCUCCCCUCACUCAAUUCACUGAAAUCCUAAACAAAGAGCCCUUUCCUCUCCUCCUCCUCCGCCAUAGCAACCAAUGAGGUAGAGUUCCGGCGGUUGCUAAAUAUUUAAAUAAAUUUUGGUAAAUUAGCAUUACUCUUUUUAAUUUAUAGCGACACUUUUUAAUUGUCACUAUAUACCUAGCGACUCCACAUAUAACAACAUUUUUUAAAAUGGUCGGUAAUUUAGCCAGCAUCACUUUUUUUGACCUGUACCGAUAUUUAAAAGUGUCGCUAUAGACCAUUUUUUUUGUCGUGAGUAGGUCAUUUUAUAGUUAAACUUAAGCAAAACUGACAAAAUGAAAAUUUAAGAUAUAAUCUAUGUAUAUAUAGGAGUAAUAUUAAUAUUGACGGCUUUAAAGGAGUAUCUUUAUUACUUCUUAAAUUUUGAGGGACACAUCUGAAAUUGCUCCCAUAACAAAAAGAAAUAAGUAAGUAAUAUUUACAUAUUUUCAAGGUUAACGAAAUUUGGUUGAUGAAUCAAAUCUGAGACAUGCAUGGUAUUUGAAUAGGAUGCCAAGUUAUAGAUAUUUUAAUAUAGAAAUGUAAUGCAUGGUUACUAGAUGAAACAUCCUUCGAUUGAGAGUACUACAGUUCUAACCAUCAAGCAUAAGUGCUUAGUGAUAUCCAAACAAAUGACUGAUAACAUAACUUGGCAACUUAGUGCCAGAAAGAAAAUUUGGUGGAAACGAUUACUAACAUGAUGCUAUAUUAUACAGUAUUCAUACAAUUUUGAGAUUCGUGUUAUUCACACUAUAAAUGAUAAAUGAAAUGAUUUUACUUUGGAGACAGUCCUAAUCGUACAAAUUUUUGUUCUCCAUAACGCUUUGGAUGUGCUGUUUUGUUCAUACUUUGAUAUUUUGCCUAGUGAAUGCGGCUAGUUGGGAUUUGCAGCUUAGCAUCUCGACUUGUUUUCUAAAAAACCACCCCUUCCUGAGUAAUAUAUAUUAUAUUACUUAUGCAAAGUCUAGAGAUACAGUCUGUUUGGCCUAGCUUUCGAGAUUUAUUUUUACUGAAGUGAUUUUGAUUUACUGAAUUGAUUUUGAUUUACUAUAGAGCAUUUGACAGUCAAAAAGGAAAGCAAUUUUUUUGAAAUAAUUUUAUAACAUAGCUAGCAAUAAUGGAACUAACAUAAGGGCCAUAAUUUACCACUCUCUCUUCGGCCUAGCCCGACCUAUGUGUCAAAAGACUCAAAACCAGUUCAUGGCGACCCAUUUGGACCGUCACAUUCCAAACUUGAAUGGUUGAACUACAAUCUGCACAAUAUAAUGUUAGGUUGUAUGUGCCACAUUGCACAAAUUAUAUGUUACUUGACUCGUCGAAUUGUCACUUGUAAUUUAGAGUAGGAACCCUAAUCAAAAUGAUACGAUUUUCGCAAAAAUUGUGGAGAACUUAGCAACCUAAAAUGAUUGAAAUUUUGGAACUUAAUUACUUUUAUCGCUGGGACCAUCUUAUCUACAAAGACCGAAGGAAGGGUAGGAAAUUUGAGACCACAAUGUACAGAAGAUAAAUGCCGCGUGGCAUUGUAGUAGAUGGACCACUAUUUAUUAAUUAUUUUUUUUUAAAAAAAAUAUAGUAUGCUACCUAUUUUAUUCAUUUAGCAAAUAAAUUUGACAAUGAAGAUUGAAGCAACGCUGCCUCGAAAAAUAUUAAAGGUGACCAAAUCAGAAAAUACAAAUAAAAGCAAACAAAAAAAAUCAUAGAAAAAUUGCUAAUUCGAAAAAAUUUAUUGAGAUCGCUCACUUAUUGGUUAUUCCAACCGAGAACCCUCAAAACAUGACAUGAGCAGCUAACCAAAAAUCUCUUAAUCACAUAUAUUAAUGCAUUAAAUAGUUAAAGAAAAUAUUUUGAAGAUUUGUAACAACAGUGCUCAACUAUUUCCCUUCCUAUCGACGACUCAUUGUUGGAAUUAAUUUCUUUUGUGCUUUUGCUAUUAGUAAUUGAGGGGUAACAAAAUAUACAUUUCAUUAGCUAAAAUAGCAUUUAAAAUAAUUCAAACUUAAUCAAUUUAUUAUUAAAUUAUAAAUACAUCUCCAACUUAAAUGAUUAAAAUAGUUUAAAGAAUUUAAAUAAAAAAAAACUACAAAUCUGAAGAGUAAUAAUUGGAGCAGGGACUUUAAAUUAAAUUGCUUAUGAUUGAGGGGUUCAUGUACAUUUUCACCUAAAUUAUUAUACCGCGUGAUGUUUCGCUCGACGUAUAUAUAUAAAUGUCGUAUAUGAUAAAGGAUUACGAUGCCUAUUCUUCGAAAAUAAAGGACGAUGCUUCCUCCACGUCAAUGUGGCGUUGAAUUAAUAUCCAUAAAUGUACAGCAGUGGUCUCAAUGCAACAGUGAAUGACGUUCAAGGAAAAAUAAAACGUGGCCUAAUCAAUGAAAUAAUGUCACACCACGUCAAUAUAUAAUGAAUUAAAUAUAUUUUUAAAAAUAAGAACAUAAUAAAGAUUCUUUUUUAUUAAUCAUUAUGGAACGAGUUAAUUUUAGGACUAUAUGGUUUAGAAUUUUUGCAUCAACUACUCACUUUUUUUAUUUUAAUGAAACUCUUCUAACUUCUUUUUUUUUUUUCCAUUUUAAGCUUACAAUAUAAAUGGUUUUUCCAUAGGUCUUUUUUGCCCUCUCAUUAUAUAAUAAUUCUUAAAAAUUAUUAAUAUCAAAAAUACCUUUCAAAUUAAAAAAAUUGUGGAAACUAUCCAUAUUACUAAUAUUUCAUCCAAAUAUGGCUUAAGCACUUGUUUUACUCCUCUUACCCAUUCAAUUAUUGUAAUAUAUAUAUUAUGACCAAGAUAAUAUGUAUUUAUUAUUUGUACAUUUCUGAUGUAGCUUUGUUAUCUAACAUGUCUAAUGAAAAACAUUUUGGUUUAUUUAGUAUUUUUUAAGUUUUUACACAUUAUAUUUUUAUUUUAUUUGUCUUAUUAUGACUGGAAGAAUUAAAUACUUGUUUGUUAGAUUUAUUUCUAAAUCUUUAGCUUAGAUUUAUAUUACUUUACAUUUAUUUCUUACUUUCUUAAUUCUUUGAUUAUUUUCGUAUAUACUACUUUGCAUCAACUAAAUAAAAAGGUUAUCCAGACUAAUGUAAAUUAAAUCAAAAGUUACAAGUCAUAUGUUUUUUUUGAGAGAUGUUACAAGUCAUAUGUUAAUUGAUUAUUGUGAAGGGUUGUUAGUUUUAGGAUUUGAUUAGAUUUAUAGUUAAUUUUUUAGUUAGAUAAAAAUUAAUAUUUAAAUUUAUUGGAGAUAAAUUAAGAUUUAAAUAUUAAUUAUAGUAUAAAUUUAUUUAGAUUAGAAUAAAUAUUUAAAUUUAUUAAAAAUAAACUAAAUAUAAAUUUACAUAUUUAUUGGAGGAGGAUUCCUAAUAUACUAAGAUUGAGCUACGCUUUCUUUUUUUUUUUUUGAGAAAGAGGUAGCACGCUACCCGCUUCAUUCAUUAAAUAAAUGAAUUAAGCUACAGGAGUGGGACAUCCAGGCCCCGGAGGAAAAAAAAAAAAAAAAAAACCCACAGGGUUAAGGGUUUAAGGUUUAGGAUUUAGGAUCGAGUCCCACUCUUUCAGAAGAAGCUUGAGCCUGUUAACCUCUAGCAAAGGGUCCGGAAGAAUGUUUCUAAAAAUAGUGUUGUUUCUGACCUUCCAAAUAAUCCACCAAUGGCCUAUAAGGUCGGUAAGCUUGGUUCGCUUCUUUUGGAGGUCCGUUCUGGCCAUCCACCAAUCCCAAACGAGGUUCACGCCAUCCCCCAGGUCUUGGACCACGAUAUCAUCCACCCCUACCACUAUGAUAUACUUGCUGAAGACGCACAGGGUGAACAAGUGGUCCACUAUUUCCAUGUCCGAUCCACAUAGCACACAGGUAGGGUCGUCAAUCCAACCUCUAUUAAGAUUGAGCUACGCAUUAGUUGAAGAGAGUACAGCCAAGUAGAAGUCCUUGGGAGUUGUACGGGUGAGGUGUAUUGAUCUUGGGUGUCCGUACCACACAGAGGGAGCUUAGGCUAUGGUUGCAUGCACCUAGUGCAUAGGUGUAUAUAAUAGAGAAAAUGAUAGAGUAGUCUUUAAGAGAGCUUGGGUUUGAAGCUACUCUGAUACAGAGGAGAAUUCAGAUAUAAUCUUCUCUUAUAUAGUGAAUUUUAUUUUAUCUACAUAUUUUUUGUUGGUUUUCUCUUGUUUAUAAUUGUAUCAGUUUUUGCUAAAGAGGGGAUUUAUGAUAGAAAUUCGAUUUGACGCUUCCGUUGCGGAAUUCCAACAAUUGAUACCGGAUCAAUAAUAGUCAGUAUCGGAGCGGGUUGCGGAUUCUUAAAAUCUGGUAUCAGGACGAGUAUCGGAUUUCCAAUAAUUAGGUUAUUUUAUAAUUAAGUAAACUUAAGCAAAACUGAUGAAAAAAAAUUUACGACAUAAUCUAUGUAAAUAUAGGAGUAAUAUUAAUAUUGACGGCUUUAAAAGAGUAUCGAUAAUAUUUUUAAAUAUUGAGGGGCAUGAUUUGAAAUUGCUCCAAUAAUAAUAAAAAAAAAAUAAUUAGAUAAUAUUUUACAUAUAUCGAAGGUUAACGAACUUUAGUUGACGAAUCAAAUCUGACACAUUCAUGUUAUUUGAAUAGGAUGCCAAGUUAUAGAUAUUUUAAUGUAGAACGUAAUGGUUACUAGAUGAAGCAUCCUUCGAAUCAGAGUACUACAGUGCUAACCAUCAAGCACAAGUACGCUUACUGAGAUCCAAACAAAUGGUUGAUAAUAUCACUUGACAACUUAGCACCAGAAACAAAAUUUGGAGGAAACAAUUACUAACAUAAUACAAUCCUUUAUAACGUUCAUACAAUUUUGAGGUUUGUGUCAUUUACACUAUAAAUGACAAAUAAAACGGUCUUGCUUUGGAGACAGUUCUAAUCGUACAAAUUUUUGUUUCUCAUAACGCUCUGGAUGUGCUAUUCAUACUUUGAUACUUUGCCGAGUGAAUGCGGCUAGCUGGAAUUUGCAACUUUGCAUCUCCACUUGUUUUCUAAAAAACCAUCCCUUCUCGAGUAAUAUAUAUUAUAUUACUUAUGCAAAGUCUAGAGAUAUAGAGUCUAUUUGGCCUAACUUUCGAGAUAUUAUUUUUACUGAAGUGAUUUUGAUUUACUCUAGAGCAUUUGACAGUCGGAAAGAAAAGUAAUUUUUUUAAAAUAAUUUUAUAACAUAGCUAGCAAUAAUGGAACUAACAUACGGGCCAUAAUUUACCACUCUCUCUUCGGCCUAGCCCGACCUAUGUGUCAAAACCAGUUCAUGGCGGUCCAUUUGGGCCGUCACAUUCCACACUUUGAAUGGUUGAACUACAACCUACACAAUAUAAUGUUAGGUUGUAUGUGCCACAUUGCACAAAUUAUAUGUUACUUGACUCGUCGAAUUGGGAAUGGAUUGUCACUCGUCGAAUUGGGAAUGGACUCGUAGGAACCCUAAUCAAAAUGAUACAAUUUUUGCGAAAAUUGAGGAGAACUCGGCAGUUCAGAGGAUUGAGAUUGCUGCAAACGUAUGGCUCUACUGUUUUGUUUCAGAUCAGGGGUUCUAGUGCAUAUAACUAAUGUGAUUCUUUUCUCUUAACAUUUAAUGAAUUUUUGUAAUAUUUUUUAUAUUAUUUGUUCAUUAAUCGCAAAUUUCUGCUUUCUUUUUCAUACAUGUAUUAGAAAAUUUUGGUUGCAUGCAAUACCAAGUCUACAUGCCCAACCAUAUUCCUUGUAGACGUAAUGAAUGCGCACAUACGACACCAAACGAUAAUUAUUAAUGUUAAACAAUGUUUUCUAUACAUUUAUUAUAAAAUAGGAAAAACUUAAAAAACCUCCAUGUAGUUUCACACGUUUAAAGUGUAUCAAGUUAGUACCCUAUGGUUUCUCACUUUAUCACUUUAGUACCAUGUGGUUUAAAGUGGAUCAAGUUAGUACCCUGUGGUUUUGCACUUAGUAUCCUGUGGUUUUACACUAUCACUUUAGUAUCGUAUGAUUUAAAAAAUCACAUGGUACUAACUUGAUACAAAAUUAAAACCAUAGGGUACUAAAGUGAUAAAGUGCAAAACCACAGGGUACUAAUUUGAUACACUUUAAACCAUAGGGUACUAAAGUGAUAAAGUAAGAAACCAUAGAGUACUAAUUAACUUGAUACAUUUUAAACCACAUGGUAUUAAAGUGAAAAAAAUUAAAACCACAAGAGGGGUUUUUGAAGUUUUUCUUAUAAAAUAAGUGUAAGAUGUACUUUCUGGUCUUUCUUUGGCUAAAAUUUAAUUAUCAAUUAAUCUUAUCAACUCUUUUUUUUUUUUUUUUUUGCUUAAUAUGCUAAAAACACCUUCAUCUGAGGUUUAAAGACUUUUUAGAUGCAAGGGCACAAAAUGUACACACUUAUAUGAAAUAUACCACUAAAAUUUUUCUUUUUGUAAAUUUAUGAUUCUAAAUAUUAAAAUUUUGUAUUUUUAUUAACGUGUGUGAUUUUUAUAUAGCCAUCUAUAUCUAUAUAAAUCUAUGAAAGGGCAACCGGUACGCCGCUCUCUCCGCAUUCGGCGGGUUCCGUUGACGGCACGUGAGGAGAGCUGGCGGGGCUCACCGUGGCUCCUGCACGCGGUCCACGACUCAUGGUGGACCGGGUGAGGGAGGGGGUAGUGGACUCCGGCUGUGGGAGAGGGGGUGGUGGGCCCCUCUCUCCCUUUUCGAUCGCGCGUGUGUGUGUGUGUAUAUAUAAAUCUUGGAAUUUUAGCUUUUAUUUUUUUAGAUUUACUUUUGGACGUUAGAUUUAAUUUUUUUAAUCUAAUACAAUGCCGCUUAGGAUUAAUUAUCUUAUUAUGUUAUCAUCUAUUUAGUUUCCUUUUUAAAUUUUCGUAUCUCUUGAUGUCAUCGCAAUAAAUUACUUAAAAUUAAUCCAUCUUAAUUUACAAAAUUUCAUAGUUGAAAAAAAUUAAAUUAAAAACGGUAACUAAUUUGGAACCUAAAAAGAACCUCCCCUUAUUUUGGGGGAUUGUGGUGCCCAUAUCAAUUUUUUAAAAAAUUAAUUGCAGAUUGGGUCUCAAUCUUUUCACGCUAUUUUAUUUUGGUUGCUAAUCUCUCACUACAACAAAAAUGGUCUAUAGCGACACUUUUAAAUAUAGGUAUAUGUCAAAAAAGUGCUGCUAGCUAAAAUUACCGACACUUUUAAAAAGUGUUGCUAUAUGUGGGGUCGCUAGGUAUAUAGUGACAGUUAAAGAGUGUCGCUAUAACCUAAAAGAGUGCUGUUAAUUUAUCAACACUUAUUUAAGUAUUUAGCAACCGCCAAAACUCUACCUCGUUGGCUACGGUGGCGGAGGAGGACGACAGGAAAGGCUCUUCGUCUAAAAUUUCAGUGGAUUGAAUGAAGAGAGAAGAAAAGAUGGUAAUUGAUUUUUCUUUUUUUUUUCUUUUCUGUUUGUAAUCGGGCCAAAUAGACUGGGUGUGGUGGGUUGAGUAGAGUAAUCUUUUAUUUUUGGUUAGAUUAGGCUUUAUAUUUAGACAGUAGUAAAUGUUUUUUUAAGUUUUAGAAUAAAUGGGACACUUACUCAAAAGUGUCCCAAACAUGUGUCCCUAUAACCUAAUUCUGUUGUAGUGAUCCUACCUCCGAAGAUUUAAAUUUUCUUUAAAAUUUUAAUAUUAAAAAAAUUAGGACUAGUGAAGAAAAGUUAACUCUUGGAAGAUAAAGAUGUAGCAUUGGAUUAAAAUCUCAUUUGGAUUGUAGUAUGGCUUUGAUCAAAAUGAAAAGGGAUUGACUCAACUCUUAAAUGGAGGUCCGUAGAAUUUUAAUCCUUUUUAGAUUGCGGACUUAAAUAUUUCUCUUUCAAGAUCAUUCUCAAUGUCUCAAUCUUACUAUCCAUCAGUGUGUGUGUGUUACUAGUGUGUGUGCGCGCGCGCGCGCGCGCGUGUAUUUCAUAAAAUCCCUCGCGAACCUUUUUCAAUGAAUCUAAACAUAGUUUCAUCCUUAUAAGCCGCGUAUCCACAUCUCUAUAGCUUGAUUAGAGUUGUGCCCCUCUAACAUCACUCGAGGCUAUAUAGUCCUGAUGUUGUACACUGACAAAUUUUAUAUGCCUCCCAACAUUUUGAAAGAUAAAACAAAUAUAAUAAAAAGACAAAAUCUAAAUAGAAUACUCUUUAAUUUUCUAAAAUUUGUUCUAGCAAAAUGUUUAUUAAGAAAAAGAUUUACCUAAAAUCAUAUAAAGAUGGAAACACUACAACAGAAUUAGGUUAUAGAGACACAUAUUUGGGACACUUUUGAAUAAGUGUCUUAUUUAUCCUAAAACUUAAAAAAAUAUCUACUAAUGCCUAAAUAUAAAGCCCAAUCCAACCAAAAAUAAAAGAUUACUCUACUCAACCCACCACACCUAGUCCAUUUGGCCCGAUUACAAACAAAAAAGAAAAUAAAAAGAAAAAUCAAUUAUCAUCUUUUCUUCUCUCUUCACUCAAUCCACUGAAAUUCUAGACGAAGAGCCUUUCCUGUCGUCCUCCUCCGCCACCGCAGCCAACGAGAUAGAGUUUCGGCGGUUGCUAAAUGCUUAAAUAAGUGUUGGUAAAUUAGCAGCACUCUUUUAGGUCAUAGCGACACUCUUUAACUGUCACUAUAUAUCUAGCGACCCCACAUAUAGCAACACUUUUUAAAAGUGUCGAUAAUUUUAGCUAGCAGCACUUUUUUGACAUGUACCUACAUUUAAAAGUGUCGCUAUAGACCGUUUUUGUUGUAGUGGAUCAAAAUCCUUAAAUCAAGGAUUAUAAUUGUACAAUCCUUUUUGGAGUAUUUCUCUUGGAUUUUAUAUUAAAAAAAGGAUUAAAAACAAGUUGAUAGCACAAAUAUACAAAGCUAUUAAUUGGAUGGUACAAGCAGUAAAAUUACAACACAUUUUGGGUUGAAGGGGUAGUAAAAUUACAAAGUUAGGAAGUACCAGGCCAAUCGUAUCUCGACAACACAUUUCUACAACUGUGCUACAACUAUACUCAGAACUAACUAUGUUGGACUUAAUUGCUUCAUGGAUGAGACAAUUCAAGAGGAGGUAGGUAUUUGUCACUAUCAAAAAUACACCACCGAUCGAUAAAUUAUUUCUACUAGUUAAAGACCAAUAAUAAAUGGACUAAACAAAUUUGGUAAUACUAGGAAAAGUAAAUUAUUAUGGAAUCAAGUUGAAACUUAUUAUUUGUUCAACAACAUAAAUUUGUUUCCACCAUUGUCCCUCUUUAAUUAUGUUGGUACCUCAUGUUUACUUAUGAGUGCAGCAAUUAAUAUAACUAACUGUAGGUUUUACAUCAGCAUGCACAACUGAUGCGAUGUUUUCUAACGAUCAGUUUUUUUUUUAAUUUAUUCAUUUUAUUAUAAUUAUUAAAAAAUAUUAUUAUUAUUAUUAUUUUAAAAAAUAUAAUUAAUUAAUUAUUAAUUAUUUGAUAUAAGUGUGAAAUAAUAAAUUUUCUCUCUUCGACGAGAGGAAUAUCAAUAAAUAUGACACGAAAUAUGUAACUAUGUAAGGUCCAAAGGCAUUUAUUUGCUUGGAAUAUGUGGUGAUUUUAUUAUAGGAUAAAUUAUCAUAGCGCAUCCACUUGCCAGUUGCCACGUCCCAUGCAUCUUUGGAUUUUCGUUGUUCAAAAAAAAUAUGUUUUACAAUUUAAAAAUUGAACGAAUAAAAUUGAAAAUAUGAGAUAAAAAUUAUGGAUAAAUGAGGAUCUGCGUAAAAAUGUAAGAUGCAUCGAUCCCAUACGAACAAUAACUUCUCGCAAAGAAUCACCUUCCUUUGUCCUCCUAAUUUUAAUUUUUAUGUUUAAAUUUAAGGAGAAAAUAUUUGAACUUAUAUUGCAAGAAACAGUUGAAUUUUCUGCUUGAAAGCUUUAGUUAUUGAAAAAACAAUUAUUUGUAUUAUUGUAUAAUUAUAAUUUACUAGAUCAAAAGUCUCCAUAUAUUGUUCAAAAGUAUGCGCGUACGCAGAACUUCUUUAAACAUCACUUCGAUAUAAAAUUAUCAUGCACUAAUUAAAUCUUUUGUUAUUUCACAUGGCGUAGUAUAAUUACUUUGAAAUAUAUGGUUAAAUGGUACAACAAAAACUUUCUUUUUUGCAGUAGUGGACUCGGCAUUAACCAUCUCUUUUUAAUUGAAAGCUUUUUCCUAUAGUCAGGUAACUAUUGGUUGGUCAUAAAUUUUUUGUUUCUUGUUUUGUGUAGGUCAUAAAUGAAGUUGAUGGAGUACGUUUCUCUCGUGCCACUAAAGAAUAUUGUUAUCUUUAUUUCCAGUACUUCCACAAAUUUUGCAGUAAGAAAUGUUACUUGCACAUUCAACUUUUAAGCGUAUAUCUUAUAUAUUAAUUCACAGUUCAAAGCAGAGACGGAGCCAGAAAUCAAAUCUUUGGGGGGCCAAAAUUUGGGUUUAGCAAAAAAACAGCCGAUCUCGGAUAGUUAUAAAAGAGUUUGCCAAAUUCACUGAUCAUCUAUUGCUAGCGACAACAACAAUAAUAUGUUUAAAGAGGAGCAUAACUAUAAAAACUGAAGGAAAAAAAACCGAGGGGUUUGGAAAAAGAUUAAGACACGAGUUUUAUUAAAAAAAAAUAAUAAUUUGGCUCUUCUAAAAAUAAAAUUUAUAAUAUUUUAAUUUUUAUUAUAACAGACUUAUAUAUAAUUUAAAAGUUGAGGGAGCCAUAGCCAUUGUAAGUCCCAGUAUUAUUCCGUCCCUAGUUCAAAGGUUCAUAAUAUUCUUUUUGAACUUAAAUAUUAAAUAUAUAAAAGUGUUGGCUCUUGGAUGGUAAGAAUAUAAGAUAUAAAUUCACUUUUAAAUAUAUCUAAUUGGACUGGGCUACUAUUAGUAGCAAAAUUUUAUUGUUGCUAUCAGUUUUUUAGCCUUUGGAUCAACUCUUUUCAUUAUUUCUAACCAUUGGAUUAAAUACUAUAACCCAGUGGGGACCACUCAAUCCUAGAGGGACCACUCAACUCUAACCGACUAAUAUCAUCCUGACCCUAUAAUUUUUCAUCCGAAGGUUAAAUAUUUGAUAGCAAAAAAAGUGUUUUACUAUUAAUAGUAUUCGAGCCUAAUUCUAGAUAUAUCCACACAAACUGAUGAUCGUUGGUCAAGAAAAAGGUCCAAUGUAUGUGCAGCGAUAUAUAAGUUGUGUGAUAAUAAUUUAAAUGUAAUUUAAAGUAAUUUGCAUUUUUUUUUUUUUAAACUUAUGUAUAUACCAAUUGUCUCAUAGUAUCAGAAAAAUUGGCAAACCAACUUCUCAUUCUCAAAGGCAUACACGAGCCUCUCAUCAACCACAUUUUCCCAGACAUUGUGUAAAGAGAGUGGGAGGGGGAAAAAAAGAAAAAAAAAAACGACAUGCAUGAACACACGAAAGUCGGGCCUAACACGACAAGGCCACUUUAUUUAAACACACUAAAUUAACACCGCGUAGGUAACACGUCCUGCAGAUCGCAUGCAUAACGCCGAUCGACCUACAGCUCACCGAAGAGGUAAGGCAUAGUGCCGAACACCUUAGUUACGAGCGUCUGCUCCGUCUCCGUCCAGUGCCCGGUCUCUUUCGCCCGGUCGGCGAUCACCUUCGCCAUCUCAGCGGGGUCGUAAUGCAUCGAUUGCAAUUGAUUCGCGGCGGUGGGCCCGGCCCCAACGAACGCCACGGUGAAUCCCCCGGCACUCCCGGCGCUCUCCACCUGAACCAAGUUCGGCCCGCCGAACAGGUUGUGCUUGUUCCCCAGCGCCUCCUGGUACGCCCCCGCCAGGAACGUGCCGAUGUAGUACCCGCCGCCGCUUUGUUUUACGUCGUGCAGGGGGAGAGUCUGGGCCCCGCCGAUGAACAGGUCGACCUUGCCGUCGCUGUCGCACGUGAGGUCGAGGAGCGUGCCCUUCUGUGUCGGCUUCUCCUGCAGCCGGUGUAUCGGCAUGAUCGGGAACAGCUGCUUGAUCCCCCAGAAGUCCGGCGUGAGCGAGAAGACCGACAGGUUCAUGUGGUACGCGAAGGUCUUCUCCCCGGCCGCCUCCAACUGCUUCGCCAGGCGUCUGCUGAGCUUGAAGAUCUCGACCCCGUGCUUCUUGAGCUGGUCCGCGUGGACUAAGGAGGCGUCAUUGUUGCUGCCGUCCCUCGAUCGGACGGCGGAUUUCAGGUUGGCGUGAAGGGUCGUCGGGUUUCCGACGAGAUCGUCGAGGCGGCUGAUUAAUUCGUCGGAUGUGAGCGAGUCGCUGGGUUCCUCCACGGCCACCAGUGCAUCGUAUAUCAGGAUCGACUGGUGCGACACGAGGGCGCGGCCGCUCUCGCUGCACAGCACCGGGUGCGCCACGGCCUUCUGGUUGCACACGAGCCUCGCCGCCUGCACCACCGUCGACGCGUACUCCUCGAAGCCGUACGCCACCGACAUGUCCGACUCACCGGACCGCGUCCCGUCGUAGUCGAUCCCGAGCCCCCCGCCGACGUCCAGGGUGCCCAUCGGCGCCCCCAUCUGCACCAGGUUGCAGUAGUACCUGUUGUUCAAUGUAUAAAUAUUAUUAAAAAUGCUGCAAUAUAUAUAUAGUAGUUUACGCUUUUUGGAGAUCAACAUUAAUUGAUUUCACCAUACCCGGUAGCCUCGCGCACUGCGCUGCCGAUGAUGGAUGUGGUCGGGAUCUGCGACCCGAUAUGAAAGUGGAGUAGUUUGAGGCAAUCGAGCAUGUUAUUUUCUUUAAGCGUCUCUGCGACGGCGUAGAUUUGGUCCUCCAAGAGGCCGAACUUGCCGUGCUUGCCCGAGGUGGACCCAAAGUGGCCGGGGUUGGUGGUGAGCAGCCUCGCACGGAUGCCGAGCACGGGGCGGAUAUUGAGCUUCUUGCUCGCCGCCACCACCGUGUCGACCUCAUCCUCCAACUCGAGCACGAUGAUUGUGUUGAGAUCGAAGUUGCGUGACACGAGGGCGAGGGAGACGUAGUCCAUGUCCUUGUAGCCGUUGCACACCAGGUACGCCUUCGGGCUUCCGUUGAUAAGGCUGUUCAUGGCGAGAAGGAGCUCCGGCUUCGACCCGGCCUCCAGCCCGAAGUUGUAGUCCUUCCCUAAACUGAUCAGCUUGUCCACCACGUCCCUGUUCUGAUUUACCUGUUAAAUACAAAAUGUCAGACACAUACAACGUUCUUUUGCGCGCUAAUUUUUUAACGUAACCAGUCAUUUUGCUUGCAUCAUAUCAAUGCUGACCUCUUCUUACCUAAUAAUUAUUGAAAAAAACAAUAGUUGUUAAUUACUUCAUAAUUUAUUUACUUUUUUUAAUUUAAUGCAUGAACUGGAAAGUGUAUGAGGUCACUACUCUGAGACUCUCAGUUGUAUAUUACGGGAAACACCCCUUGAUAGUAGGAGGUGUAAGCGGUAUACUUAAUGGCGUUCGCGAAGGCCGUAUGGAGCGAGUCCAAACGGUGCUUGAGCACGNAAAAAAAAAAAAAAAAAAUCCGACCGAGCCAGUAAUUAAGCUCCUGAUCGAUUCAAACUUCUAAAAGUAAGCUACUAUAUAUUUCAAAUUGGUGCACCUUUACGGGAAACACCCCUUGAUAGUAGGAGGUGUAAGCGGUAUACUUAAUGGCGUUCGCGAAGGCCGUAUGGAGCGAGUCCAAACGGUGCUUGAGCACGUCGGGGAAGCGGAGAAUGAUCGGAAACUGGAGACCCCCCUCAGUCGCCUUCUUCACCGCAGCGAGGAGGUCAAUCGCCUCCUCAGAGGUGGUCUCAACGCCGUUAAUCAUAACGGAGAUGUUGCCGCUGGAGUUAACGACGAAGUAAGGUUCGCCCCAUCCCGCAAUAUUGUAGAGGUAACCAAAGUUGGUCGACAUUAUUAUCUCUCCUCCCUACACAAAGAGUUAUCUAAUAAGAAAAAAAAAAGCUAGGGUUUAGUUUCGCAGUAAGAUUUGCAUGGGAGUGAGAGUGGGGAAGGGGGUGAGGGUGCAUUAUAUAGGCGCGCUCCACGGAUACCACCGGGCGAGAUAAUUUAUUAAUUUCUCCCACUUUUAUUAAUUUUGGACGGUCGAGAUGUCUUUCUAUGUUUGUAACAGAUUGGACGGACGGGAUCUGUUUUUGGUGGCGCGUGGGGCCCGCGUUUCAUCGUCGGUUUGUUGAUCACGAGGAGUGCAUGUUACGUUUCUCUCUCGGAAAGGCAAAAAGGAAAAAAAAAGAAAAAAAAGAAGGACAAAAGGGCACUGUGGCGCGUCACCGUCCUUAUUAUGGUAGAGGAGGAUUCCCCUAAGCAUGUUUUACGCGCAUAAAAUAGGCGCACUGUUGAAUGUUUUGGGACUCGUUCCUAUUUUGGGCCGUGUUUAAUAAUUUCCCAGGAGAGCAAAUAGUUAAACGCUGGGUUAAACUACAAUGAUAUUGAUUAGCACUUCUUUUUUUAAUAACUCUUUUGGUAAUAGACGUUCAUAGGUAAAGCGGUUAAUUAGUACCACUCUCUCACCACUCUCUCUAUCUAGAGAAAAAAAAAAAGUUAUUAGUAUAUACGCUAUAUAAAUAUAUAUUCCAAACUAAUCAUAUAGAAUAAUACAAUUUUCAAGUUUGAACUCAUUCUCUGAAGAGAUUGAUUAUAUUGUGUGAUAUAUUGAAAACUAACAAUGUUAAUAUAUUGAAUUCAAUUGAAUUCACUCAAGAAUAUUUAAAAAUAUUAUUCGAGAUUAAUAAAGCUCUUUAUACAAUCUAUAACAAUUAUCAAAUCAAAUGGCAAUUAUUUUGGUUCAAAAACUACUUAGAAUAAUUGAGUUUGAUGAGUGAGAAUGAAAGCACUACUUGAAUUGGGGGUGUUUAUUAGUUUCUAAUUAUAAUAAAUCAUGUGAGGAGCUUUCAAUUUUGCUCCUUUUGGACCGCGUACUUGGUUUUUUUGUUUCUGCCUCAUACCAUAAGUAAACCUCGUUUCCUUUAUUAGGCUUGAAAUUAAUAAUGUCAGGGUACAUGCUAAUUGUAAACCUGGCUACAUUCCCGAAACGAACAAGAUAUUCUACAAGGUAUACGCGAACACCAUUAGUGGCAUGUUUGGUUCGAAAUCGGAGUUGGAAUCGGCAUCGGAAUCGGAAUCAAAAUAAGCUGGAAUCGGAAUCGGAAUCAGAAUCAAAAUAAGCUGCAAUCGAAAUCGGAAUGACUCAUUACCUAAUUCUAUUUGGUUCAUCAUCUGAAUCGGAAUCGGAAUAAAUCAUUCCCAUUGUCGGUGUUUGGCUCAGAUGGAUACAACAAACGUAAUCAAAUUAAUAUACUAACAUUAUCUUUAUAAUAUAUUAAUUUAAAUUCAAAUUAAAAAUUAAAUAUUAAAAAUUUAUAUCAAAAUUUUGAAAUAAUAUCAAAAUUUUAAAUCUAUUUUUUAAAAAAAAAAUUAAAUUUUGAAGUUGAGUGGAUAAUUCAAAAUAUGAAACUAAAUUUUGAUUUAUUCAAAUUCAAACUUAAAAUUAUAAUUUAAAUUUUAAUUUGAGUCCAUAAAUUUAAUUUAAGUUUGAAAUAAAAUUUGAAUAAAAUUUUAUAUAAAUUAAAAUUUAAUUUAAAUUCAAAUUCAUAAGUUAGAUUCGAAAUAAUUGAUUAAAUUUUAAUUUUUAAUUUAAGUUCAAAUUAAAAUUUAAAAUUAUAUAUUUAAUUUUUAAAUUUUAACUCAUAUUUUAAUUAAAAAUGUUGAAAAAAUAAAUUUAAUCCGAAUAAAUAUCCAUUCCGUCCGAAUUCAAUUUCCGAUCGGGUCUCCUAGGCCGGAUUGAAAAAAGAGGUGAUUGAGAGAUUCCCAUUCCAUUUGGAAAUCGAAAUCGGAAUCGGAAUGGAACUCCCGCGUACCAAACACCCACAAACGGAUUCACCCAUUCCGAUUCCAAUUCCAUAGUGAAAAAGAAGCAAACCAAACACGCCCUAAAUAUGGUAGAGCAAGUUAUUUCGAUCAAAGCGAGUUAUUCUUGAACAAUCAGUUAAGAGUCAUUUUCUAGAAAACUUGGAACAAAUUAAAAUUCUCUCUCAUGAUUCUUUUAUAUAAUUAAGUAAAUAAACAAGCAACUAUAUUAAUAUGAAUAAUUUUUUGUUAUAAUUUCUCUUUUUACUAAAAUUUUAUUAUAUGAUAUAAAUUAUGUUAAAUUUGAUGUAAAAUUAUUAGCUAGCGUUUGGAUUGGGUACAAGAGGGGUACCCAAGGUCCCAAACAGGAAAAAGGAUGGGUGGGAACAAGCUUGUUCCCACCCCCCGUGUAGAGAGAGAGAGAGAGAGAUUUUUAUUUUAAAUUAAAAUUUAUAAUUUCAAAAUUAAAAUUUAUAAUUUUAAAUUCUAAAUUUUAAAGUUUAAAUUUUAAAUUUGAUAUUUUUAAUUUUUAAAUUUUAAAUUUGAUAUUUUUAAGUUUUAAAUUUUAAAUUUGAUAUUUAUAUAUUUCAAAUUUAAAUUUGGUCUUAAAUUUAAAAUUUGAUAUUUAAAAUUAUAAUUUUGAAAAUUAAAAUUUUAAAUUUUAAUUUCAAAUUUUAAAUUUUAAAAUUUUAAAUUUUGAAUUUAAAAAUUUAAAUUCAAAUAUAAUGAGAAGGGUAAUACCAUUAUUUUCUAUUUAUAACUAUCAACUAUUUUUCUUAUUCCAUCUUAUUUAUUCAAACACUAUUUUUUUUAUUCCCGGGAACAACUAAAUUUUUAUUUAAACACAAAAUUAGUCUAGUUUUCGCUUAUAUCUAAACUUAUAUCUAUCCCUGGUAUAAGCUAGUUCUUACUUAUAUCCGAACCAAACGAAGCCUUUUAGCCUCCGUUUGGUUCGGGGUUAAGAAAAAAGUAGCAAUUCCAGGGAUAGGGUUAAGUUCAUGGUUAAAGUGGGGUUAAAGUUUUUUUAUGUUUGGUUGGAGUAGGUGGGAUAAGAAGAUAAUGAUUGAUAAAGAAGAAAAAGGUGAGGGAUCGGGAUGCGUGCGGGGUUAAAGUUGGGAGGGGGAGUGGGGUUAGUAAACCCCACUAACCCGGGUUAGUAAAGAGUGGUGUUUGGGUAUAAAUUGGGGGUUAAGGGAUUAUUCCACCCCUUAACCCCCAACCAAACGGUAGCUUAGAGUCCAACCGUGAUACUUCUGGAAGAAUAAAAAAGUUAGUGCUUCUAAGUUUUUACCCAUUGGAUCAACCCCAGCCUUUGAUUAUUUCUAAUUCUUGAAUUAAUAUUUUUUUUCUAGGGACCAUUAAACCUUAGGGCUUCGUUUAGUUCAGGGUUAAGUAAAAACUAGUUAUUCUAUGAAUAGGGUUAAGUUUAGGGUUAAACUUGAAAUAGAUCAAUUUUGCGUUUGGAUAAUAAUUGAGUUGUUCUCGAAAUUAAGACAACGCUAUGAAAAAUAAUGUUUGGAUAGAUAAGAUGGAAUAAGAAGAAUAAAGGGCACUCAUAAAUAGAAAAUAAUAAUAUUGCCCAAAUUAUAUUUGAAUUUAAAUUUUUUAAUUUUAUAUUUUAAAUUUUAAAUUUAAAUAGAUAAUUUUUACAAUUAAAAAAUUCAAAAUUGAAACCUAUAUUUUUAAAUUUCAAAUUUAACAAUUUAAAGUUAAAAUUAUAAAUUAUAAUUUUAAAUAUUAAAUCAAAUAUAACAAAUAUAAAGUUACAAAAUAUAAAAUGUCACAUCUAAAAUUUAAAUAAUUAAAAAAUAACAAUUGUGUUGCACACCGCAAUUGUGUUAGAAUUGAAUUGUGGGGCCCGCUCUUAGCGGUUUCAUCGUGGAUUAGCGUUACACCGUCCAAAUGAUUUUGUUUUCGCGGUCGCGCGUGGUCCAUCGUAGGGCUAAAAAGUACUGGACGGUGGGGAGAGAGUAGGGAAAUUUGGUCGCUUAUAUAAAACGAUCGAAUCGAGGGUACGGGAAUUAAUUAAAUACCCAUUAUUAAUGUACGGAAGAUAAUUGCCACGUGCGAAUGUCUUAGAACGGCCGACCCUAAUUAUUAGUAAAUAUAUGUAUUGAGAUCCCUCAUCUAUUGGUUAUUUCAAAAUUGAACUCUCAAUAAUAAUUAAAGACAUUAUGAGGAAUUUGUAAUAAUAGUACUCACCUGUUUUUUUUGUCGGUUUGACCUCUCAUUUAUUUCUAUUGUUAUUUUUGAAAAUUAAAUUAAGCAGCGAUUGUUUAUAUAUCUCAAAAAAAAAUUUAUUUUUUUAUAUUUAUUCCUCUUAAAAGGCUAAUAAUAAGAAUUUUUUUUUUUAACGUUUUAAGUUAUUUUUUAUUUUAAAUAUAUUUUUAUAGAGUUAAAUUUUGUUAGUGAAUUAUUAGAAAUCACUAUUAACUCUGUAAAAUUACUGUUUUGUCUUUUCAAUAUUUUUUUCUACCAUCAUCAAAUUUUUUUUAUAUGCACUUAAGUUAGAGACAAAAAAAUAUUUUCAUAUUUUGUCUUUUCAAAUAUGCUCUUCUGCUAUCACUAACUUUUCUUAUUUGCACUUAAAUUAAAGAUAAAAAGGUAUUUUGAUUUUUUUUUUUUUAACUCUCAUAAGAAUUUAAUCUAAAUUUAACUUGAGAUGACUUAAUGGAUAAUAACAAUGGGGUUAUUUCGAAUAACGGAAAAAUAAACAGGAAUAUAUUUGAAACAGAAAAAAUAAAAAUACAUAAUAUAUUUUAGAAAUUUUAAAAAGUAUUUUAGAUAUUAUCCCUUAAAUUAAUAGCUCCCAAUGACUCUACACUUUUGUUUUUUUUGGCUAUUAGCAAUUGACUAUUAACAAAAAUAUAGAUUUCACCGGCUAUAACAAUUUUUAAAGUAGUUGAAAUUUAGUCAUUUUAUUGUUCAAUUUUACAUACUUCUGCAACUUUAAGUAAUUUAAAUUAAAAUAAGUAAAAAAACUAAAAAAUACAAAUCCAAAGAAUAAUUAUUGACGCAUCAGCUUAAAAAUGCCGUAUGACUAAAGGGUUGAUGAGCAUUUUCACGUAAAUUAUUAUUCCACAUACGAAGUUCGCUGGAAAUAUAUAGUUGUCGUAAUGCGACAUCGUUCGUUCGCUGGAAAUAUAUAGAUGUCCUAAUGCGGCAUCAAACCGCAUGCAGUAGAAUGACACGUGAUAUUUAAAUAAAAAAUGUAAAAUUUACAACCCAAAAAAAAUUUCUAAGCCCUACAGCCACUCACCUAAUAAUUGUAGAAUUUAUUAAUUUUUUCCUCUUUGUCGAUGGACAUGUGAUAUUUAAAUAAAAAAUGUAAAAUUAAAAGAGGAGUUAUAGGAUUAUGUGAAAUAAUCAUUGUAUUCUAAAAAGUUAAACGCAGCUGGCGUGCAGGAUCUCCUACUUUAAUAUAAUGUGAAACAACCGUUAUACUCUAAAGACUUAAGUUGUUAAAAAAUAAUAUUUAUAUAUUUUUAUAUUUAAUAUAUUACAAUUCGAAGUUGAUUGUAGACCUACAGCAGCACUCUAUUUGAAUUGGACGCCGGGUUAUUGAUGUUUUAACGUAGAAAGUAAUGAUUUUCAGAUGAAAUAUCUUUUGGUUGCAACUUGCAAGUUCUAAUGGUCCUAAUUACCAUCAAGAAGAAUAAAUGCUCAUCUCAAGAUGCAAUCAAAUGGCUGAUAAUAACACUUGAGAACUUAUAACUACAGGAUACUAAGUUGAUACACUUUAAACUAUAUAAUACUAAAAUAAAAAAAAUACGAAGCCACAGGAGUAGUAUUUGAAGUUUAUCCUACAAUAUAUAAUAUAUGCUCUCAGUAGUCCAGAGAUAAAAGGUCUCCAGGUCAAGUAGCCUAAUUGUACAUUUGAUACUUCGCCAUAUAAUAUUUUAUCCCCAUUAAAUACAUCAUAGAACUAGUCACCACACAAAAGUUUUUGGAAGUUACGUAGAGAGAACAGGGAAACUGUAAUUAAUGAAAAAUACUCGAUUUCUUUGCAAAGUCUUACUAUGAAACAAUAAGCCCAAUGAAGAUUUUCGGUAAAAGAUGAAAAACAAUGUAAUCGAUGAAAAUUCCUACAAGAAGUUAAAGCUAGUAAAAAUGCAAUCGCCAAAGUAAUCUUAGCAUUUAUUUAUAUACAACUCAAGAACAGUAAUUUACCUAGUGUUCAAAGGAACAGCUCUGUUUUGCUUCUUUGUAUAUUCUGAAACAAAUACAAAAGAUGAUAAUACAGAAAAAUUGUACGGUGGCUCAAAAAGGUGGUUUUCACAACAGCUCAAACAUAAUUUCAAUUGAUACACUGUAGAAAUUGACGGAUCACAAGUAGCCUUUAUUUGCAUGCGGAGCAAUUCAUAUUGUGUUGGGAAUAUAAAACAUGGAUAAAAAUCUGGACGAACUGCUAGGAUGGAACAAAUUUCGAUCCCUGUAUCGAUCAAAAUGCAAGAGGAUAUCAGGCAUGAAGCUAAUCUGCUCGUGAUUGACCAGCGCGAGAAGAUAGAAUGAUGCCAACAAUGAGGCCAUAAAGAGCCAGUGCUUCGGCGAAGAUGAGGAUGAGAAUCAUUCCGACAAAGAGUUUUGGCUGUUGAGCAUUGGCUCUGCACAAUUAAGAAACAGCACCAUUUACAUUAAUCUAAAGAGGUUCUAUUUAGCUUUAACUAGGUAAGCCAUAAGCGUAAUUAAGAAGGAUAGCCAACAACUUAACUAUAGUUAAUAACAAAUACCUUGAAGUAGAUUCAACCUUUACCACUUUAAAAUGAUUUUAUUUUGCAUAAUUUAAACAUGAGAUUUAAUAAGUUUCCUCAGAGAUUGGUAAAAGCCAGCAUUACCAGCAAAGAAAGCACAUAACAAUCAUCAAUAGAAUGUUUCCAAAACAAAAGGGUCUAUAAAUUAGGCACAUGCUGUUGCAGUUCAUCUUGAUAUUUAAACCAACCGACAAUUAUUAGACCGUUAUGUGCACCAACUACCAAGACUUCUGAAGUUUGCAAUAAUUGAUCUAAAUACAUCUAGAAAAGAUGCUGUUAAAUAUAUCGCUUCUUUUAUAACAUAAUGGUAUGAAUAUUUGUUGUAUGAUCCAUGAUGAACCAGGUUUGCCAAAUUUGGUGUGAAGGAAUUUGAUUAAUAUUGGCUGAAGUAUGCAUGUUUUUCAUGCUACAUAGCAUGAAGACUUUUGCAUGGCCUAUGCAUUCGGCCAUUAAUUAGGUAGGGCCCCAUGAACAAAACAAAGAAAAGAGAACUUGAGUUUCUCCUCGUCAAAAUGCAUUAAUAUGCAGAGGCACUUGAGUUUCUCCUCAGCACCAAAUUUAGUCUAUGAAGUGUUAUGUUAUUUAUCAAAGCAAAUUAACAGUUAGUUAUCAAUGACAGCUAUCAUUCUUGAAGCACUUCAUAGACUAAAUAUGUAAGGCUUUUACAAAGUUCCAUUGUUGGCCCACUGUCAAAAUAGCCACUCCACCUUGUAUCAGCCACAGUUUAUAAAAUUCACUAGAAUUUUGUACAUGAUCAAGCAAAAUAAAAUAUGAAAAGAACCAAAGUUGCAAUAGUUAAAUUGGGUAUUAAAAUUUGGGACUCCAACUUCAAUGAAGAGAACAAUCAACUUCAAUAAAGAGGUCAAUCAAACAACUUUAAGACCGACCACUUACAGCUAUAUGGAACUGAAGUACCAAAAAAAACAUAGGAGCUUCCUGUUGCUUUAUUUGGACAGCCUGAGAACUAAAAUUGGCUUCAACACAUUUUUUUCUCUCUGAACUUUUAGCAACAAAUUUGCAAACCAAUAAGCCCAAGGAAGUUGAGCACAUACAUGCAUACAUAUAUACAUAUGCCCAUGCAUAAAGAGAAUGUGAAAUAUGCUAAUGAAUCUCAAGCACACAGAGAAAGAAUUUUCUUUUUUUUUUGGAAAUAACAGUUUUCUCAGUUGUCUGCUCUCAAGACCAGUCAAAUUUUAUGUAAUUAUGAACUAACACUUGGCACAGCAUACGAACCAAUAUAACAUGAUGAAUUGGUACACUGCCAUAAAGAGCUUCCUUUCUAAUUUGAAUAGGUAUCGUACCAAUCCAAUGCAAGACAGAAAACAACUAAAAAAGAGAAAGUCUGCAUGCAAUAAACAUCAAACAUGUCAAUAACCACAGCAUAGAAAUUUUUGUGCUCAACGCAAGGAUUUAAGUGUCGAUCAGCAUGGGUCUUACUCACCGUGCCGACAGAAUAUCGGUACAAUACGUCCCCCGUGUUGAUGACACGGCUUGAAACCCUCAUUUCUUUGGAAUUAGCAAAUAGUUACCUCAAUAAAGUACAAAAUUUUUAUAAAUAUAUUAUAAUAAGUAAUCAGAAUAUGCUAGUGCCAAGGAAAAUAUUUCAUGCCAUUAUAUGUCGACACAGGUAUUUGUUGUGAUCGGAAUGCAUAAAGCACAGCACGACAAGCACUGUGUCAGCAGGUUUUGACACAGUCCCAUGCUAUGGCACUUGCAUCCUUGAUUCAACCAUAGGAACUCGUGAAUAUACAAUACACAACUAGUGUGAUGCAACAAGAUUAGGUUACUGAAGAACAUACAGAAGUCAAAUAUAUUGAUGAUUAUGAUGUUAGAAGCAAACAGGGCACAAAGCUAUCCUUACAAAAGGUGCAAGCAGUUUUCAGACAGCCACAUUUUCUUCCCAUUCCGCCUCUUUAUACUAUCUCGCAUCAGAAAGAACUGUCCACUCUCAAUCACUCACAUAACUAACCAUCCGACUCGCAUACUCGCUAAUCAUUAUCAAUCAUUCACUCUUAGGCCUUGUUUGGAUGUCUAAAUAAGCUAUCACAUGAUAACUUAUUCCAUAUGAAGAUUUUUUUUUGUGAAUUUGGAAGAAAGGAGUUUGAGUUUUGCUCUUUGAAAGGUCUUGAGAUGCUUGAUUUUGUAGGAUAGCAUAUUUUAUCUAUGAUGUGAUUUAUCUUAUUCGGAAAAAAUGAUUUGAAGGUCGAAUGUGAUAUUCAUUCUAAAUAUUUGAUCACAUUUCUUAUCUACUAAAUAUUACAUGAUUGUGUAGUAAACCAAAGAGAUAUGCCGAAUAAGAUGUUCAUGCAUCCAAAUAGAGCCUUAGUGCCAAAAGUACCUUGAAUAACUUCGCGGAAUAUAGCUAGUUUGUUUAAAAUCAAAUUAUGGUAUCAAACAUAAAUCCUACAUUUUAGCCAACUCUGAGACCUCUAGUCGCUUCUCUCACCUCCAAUGUAGAUCAUGCUCUUUUCUCCGCAAAUACAUGCCAAUCUCACUUCCUACAUCCACAGAAUCCCCAAUGAUGCGGUAACUUUAAAUCCAUACAUAAGCUCACUAAUCAUUAGUGUUAGCAAUAUGACAAAAUGAGCUCUUAGUCACAAGUGACAAAGAUGCUAACUUAUUAUAAUACGGUUGUCCUUAUAUGCUCGAACACAUCCGAAGUAUCUUCGACAACGACACAACUGGGAUGUGAUAGGUGAACCGUUGCGAAGGUCUCAAAGCAAAUCUACGUGGAUUUAACCUAUAUAAUCGGCAUAUCUUCUAAAUAUCUUCAUUAAUGUCCGAUAAUUGAUACCCCUAGCAGCUUAACAUUGAAAGAUUUCAUAGUCAAAAUGCACGCAUGCACACUCUCAACACAAUCAAAGCAUAUUUCCCUUGCGAAUUGAAUAAUAUAUAUAUCACAAGAAAACUAUCAGAUCAGUUACCUGACACCAGCAUCGCCGACGAUGCCGAUGGCCAUGCCAGCGGACAGUCCGGCGAGGCCACAGGCGAGGCCGGAGGAGAGGUGGGCGUAUCCGUCGAAGAGGUAGUAGGACUUGGCCUUGGGGUUGAUCCCGGUGCUGAUGAUGACGGCGAUGAUGAGCCCGUAGAUGCCGAGCACUCCCGCCAUGACCACGGGCACGAUCGACUUCAUCACCAGCUCCGGGCGCAUCACCCCCAUCGACGCCACCCCCACUCCGCUCUUCGCCGUCCCGUACGCCGCCCCCAUGCCUGUAUAAAGCAGAGAGAGAGAGAGCUAGGGUUUAGAAAACGGAAGCGGGCGAGAAGGAGGAGGGAGAGGAGGGGUUUAGGGUUAGGCCAUUAGGGUUAGGGUUUCACACAGGAGAAGACGAGGGCGGCGGCGGCGCCGAGGAAGCCGAAGAAGGGGGCGGUCUCGUCGCCGCUGAAGCUGGACAUCGUCGGAGGAGGUGAAUUGAUCGGAUCGCGGGGUCGCUGCGUCCUUCUAGUCUCUUCGAGAAAUAAGAAGAGAGAGAGAGAGAGAGAGAGAGAGAGAGAGAGUAACCGGAAUUUCCUGUUUAUUUCGCUACUUGUGCCGUAUAUGGAUCAUGAAUGGCGUGUCCACUGUAAAAAAAUUCCCAAGUACUAUUAUCGUUAUUAUUUUUUCUGAAAUAAUUGACAAUAUUGAAAUAUUAUAUUAUUCCUUUUAUUUAUAUUUUUUUGAAUAUACUUUUUAAAUUUUAAAAAAGUGUAAAUAUAUAAUUAAACCAGUCAAAACGGACAUAGAUGUAGCUCUAUCGAUUUUCGUCGAUAGAUCAAAUUUGUUUCGCCUUGUUUUUUUAAGCCUUCUAUGAAAUCUUUAAUAUUUGAUUUAGUAUAAUUUAUUAUAAUAUAUAAGUAAUAUUUUAAAAUUUAGAGAGAUAAUUAUGAAUUAUCCCUACUGAUAUUUUUAUUAUUAUUAAUUUGGCUUAGGGUAAAAGCAAUUUUGGAGUCAAUCUCGACGUUGUUAUUAUUAUUAUUAUUAUUAUUAUUAUUAUCUUCAUUAUCAGUCGAUCUAAAGCCGGGUUGUCAAUGGACCAACUCGACUCAAAACGCAAUCACGGCCCACGGGAAACCCGACCCAACUCUGAUUCCAAGUGCGACUCUGAUUCGACCUAAAUCCAGGAUUUAAACCCUCCGUCCCAACUCAAUUUUGUCCUACGACAAAUCCUCGAUUCUCCGUGCUCUCUCCCUUCAAUUCCCUGCGCUUUUCUCCUCUCAUCAAUUCUCUACGAUACGAUUUCGAGGUACGUAUUUUUGAUUCGAUCUCCUUUUUUUAAAAAAAAAAAUUUGUAGCAAUUUAUAGAUUGUCAAAAUAUAUAACUUUUCGGGUCCUUUUGAGGCGAUAGAGUUUUUUUUUUUUGUUAAAAAAAAAGAGGCUUGUUUACUUUUGUUUUGUGGUGUUUUUUCAUCAUGUUAUUGUAUGUAAUUUGGGGGAAAAAGUUACUUUUUUGGUUAUCUUUGUUGAUCUUCGUUAAAAGAACUUCUUUUCCCUAGUGUACUCGAUAGGAAAAAGUAAUUUGUUGCUUUUCUAUUCUGCGGCCAAAGAUCAAAUUGCGAUAUACGAAGAAGUUUGGUGACUAAAAUGUUCGAAUACUUGGAUUUGUAAAAGCAUGCUGUGUUAGAUUGUAAAGAGUUAAAUUUGAAAAAUAACAAGAACCACAGGGGAAGAACAACUAAAUAUUUUUGCUUAUAAGAAUUAUAUAGAUAUAGACAUUGAUAUAGAAUUAGGCUAUACUUUAGUUCAAACUGAGUCUAGAUUUUGUCUUUUGCUUUUCUUGAUUCAUAAACAGUACAUAGCUGGAAAGUUGCAAUUUGCGCACGUAUAAAAUUUUAUAUAACUUACUCAGAUAUGCUUAAUGCCGCCCAUGUUAGCAUUACAGUUCCCGCAGUAUUCUGUGACUUGUUUUUGGCUUUUUAGUCGUUUAAUUGCCGUAUGCUAAUCGUUGAUUAUUAUUUGCUUGCUAGUAGGGUCCUUGAAGGUUGUUCUUCCUGAUUAUUCACAAUGGUAAGUCCGACUUGAUGUGAUUGUCAAUACUUGAUUAUUUUAUGCGGCAUGUCUCAAUAAUUCUUACUGUUGCAUGAAUGUAUAAUCUUGAAUUUUUAAGUUACGCUGAUACAUAUUAUCUCUUUCAUUCACUCCAUGCAAUGUCCCCUGCUGUAUUUGCUUCUAGCAUAUGUUUUAAGCAUCUUUGCUAUAUUUAUUUUAUGAAGGAUUUUCCUUUUUAAAUUCAGGGGAAAGGUUAUUUACUGCUAUAUAAUUUGGAUGUGCAAUAUACCCACUAGCUAAUGUUGGAGUGUCGAAGACAUCUGUUUGAAACAUUGCAUGCAUGAAUUGUAAAAUUAGUUCAUAUGAUAGUUUUGUAAUUGCAUAUGAAGUUGUUGGUGUGCAGAUUGUUGAAUGACAAGUGAAAAGUGGUAUAGAAUAAUCCUUUCGUGCAAGCAUAUCAUGUUAAAACGGCACCUUUUACUUCUCUAUUAUUUGCAGGGAGAUGUAUAUUAUUUCCAGUCGAAAGGUAGUAGUAUAUUAAGUGUAUAAAAAGGAAGAUGGAUUUCUAGAUAGAGCAAUUCAUUAUUCUUAUUUAUCUGAACAAAAAGCUAUAUGACAUUUUACUUGGAAUGAGUUUUGCUGAUUUUCAAACCUAACUGUGUUGAAGAGAACAUGUUGCAGUUGGAGUGGCAUAGUUAUGCUUAGUCUUGGAUAUUUUGAUAUCUUUGCUUCCGAUGCUGCACUUACAAUGACAAUUCUUCAUUGUAAUUUAACAUAUAUGCAUUUUGAUUUUACAAUUUUUGGUUCUCACUCCUUGGCACAGAAUCUUGGACGGUAUCGACCGCAUGAUUUCUACAGAGAUUCUUUCAAGCAAAUUUAUUGCUGUCGCUCAGCAUCUUCUGUCAAAAAGGUUUGCUGUUCCUUGCACGCUUUUUUCAAUGUCGUUAUGUGGAUUUCAAGCUUAUAAAGGACGAAACUUAGGGACUAUUAUAAAAGAGGUAAUUGAUCAGCAGGAGUUUCAGCUAAGUAUAUGAAUUUCUUAGAUAUUUUUUGAACAGUAGAGAGACCUAUUGUCUAAGUUAUUUAUUUAAUAACUCGCUGAUUUUUUCUUAUGUUGAAUAAAUCAUUUGAUAUGUACUACAAUUCCUGUCAUUUCAUAGCAGAUAUAUUGUAUGGUGUAUUUUAAAUAGUUCAGCUUAAAAUUAGUAUCCUUUGAACUAAGAGUUAUAUGAAUGAUAAAAAUGCACUUUUUAAGCUUUUGCAUAAAUAACCAAUAUUUGAGUUGAAAAUUACCUUUCUAUGUUUUAGUUCUUAAAAUUUAUAAAUUCAGUAUCAGAUAUGAUUAUUGGAUCAGUGGUAGGCGUUUAAGUUUCUUUCUUGUUGAUGCACCCUCUGCACGCCUUACUUUGUCGGCUAUAGAUCAUCUACUGCUGUGAGCACAUGCUUUACUUUCUCUUUUGACGCUACCAAUUUGGCUUUGUAGCUAGUUAUAUCAUAAUGCUUUCGGUGCUUUGUUAAGACUUGCAAUAUUAUAGAAAUUACACUUGAAAAUGAAAAACUUCUUAAAGAGUCCUUCAUCUGUUCUCUUCAUUUUGGGAACAACAUUGUUCCCGUAUUUUAACAAAUUGAGUUUCUUUGUGCAGCCACAUCUGGAAUUUGGUGACAAAGGUUUGUCCAUGAACACCAUCUAAUAAUAUCAGUGUUGCACUUUUCUUUCAUUAUUCUCCGACUAACAUGGUUUUUCUCUAUCCAGUCAUAAUGCCUAUAUCUGCUCUUAAUCGGCUAGGUAAAUCAAACUGAUUACCUGAAUGCUCUUUUGUCUUUGUCUUUUUCUCUUUCAUCACUUUGUUCUAUUGGAAUGCUAUCUGGUUGCUGGUUAUAUGCUGCUAAACUGCUUUUUUUUUUAUAUAUAUAUAUAUAUUCCCUAGCAUCCUUAGAUAUUGACUAUCCAAUGUUAUUCGAGAUUCACAAUGAUGCCGCUGACCGAGUAUCGCACUGUGGUGUAUUAGAGUUUGUAGCAGAAGAAGGCAUGAUCUACAUGCCUAAUUGGGUAGGCACAUCACUUCGAAAUUUUUGAUCAAUUUGCUGUGUUUUCAGUAGAUAAAUGAGAUUCUAUUGAACUUUUAUUUUUUUGGAUAAAUUUCCUCUCGUUUAUCUCUAGAUGAUGCAAAAUAUGCUUUUACAAGAUGGAGACAUUGUCCAUGUGCAAAACACCAGUCUCCCUAAGGGCACAUUCGUCAAACUGCAGCCUCACACAAAAGACUUCUUAGAUAUCUCAAACCCCAGGGCCAUGUAAGUACUUACGGUGACAUUGUUUCAGUUGCCUAUUUUCAGGCUUUAGCUGUUGUUGCUCUAUUUACAUUUGUCUUUGAUGUUUAUUGAUGGGUAACUAAAUGACCAUCUUCUGCAGCUUGGAAAGAACCUUGAGGAACUUCUCCUGCUUAACCACAGGUGAUGGUAUUAUGGUAACUUACAACAACAAAAGCUACUACAUUAAUAUUCUGGAAACAAAGCCAGCUUCUGCAGUCGCUAUUAUUGAGACAGACUGCGAGGUGGAUUUUGCACCUCCGCUUGACUAUAAAGAACCUGAGAAGCCACAACAAGUUUCUACUACUACAAGCAAAGGUCUUACUCCUGUUUUAGUUCUUAUGAUACCUCGCGUUUUCUUAUUUGAUUCGCUUUCAUUAUCCUUGCGAAUCUCAUUCUUCUAGCGAGUUUUCAUGAGUAUCUUGUAUGAAUCUGGGUUUCUUUUUCUCCGAAUGGUCGCCUCUAAGUUAAUGUUUUAUAUGUGGAAUUUAUCAAAUAUUUUGCUGGUUCCAAGCCAGUAUGAAUGCAUACUAGGUAUUAUGGACUCCGGUAUUACAUUUUGGAAAAUCAUUACUUGCCUUCAUUUAAGAUUGGUUAGAGUGUCUACAUAUGGUACUAACAAUUAGAUAUAAUAAUAAGAAUUAACUAUCUUAUUUUUUAACUGCAGUUAAAGGUACUGUUACCUCUGUUUUGUUUUAUAAUCACGGAAUGCUACUUAAAUUGAGCAUAUCUAUGUAUUGGAAACUGCUGAUAAUUUAGCAAAAUAAGAGAGGGGUAACCUUUUGCCAAAAUUUUUGCCAAAAUUUUGUGAAUUCUGUCACCAUGAUGAUUGAUCUUGAAAAUUUCAGCUGAAGAUGCUAAUGCCAAAGCUGAAGCCGAACCAAAAUUCAUCCCUUUCACUGGUUCUAGUAAGCGCCUGGAUGGGAAGCCUAUAAAGCAGCAAGAACCAACAAUGUCUUCUCAUAUAACCGAUCACCGGAUUGAAGCAAAUAAGAAAAUAAAACUGGAGGAUACUGCAUCUACAUUGUUACAGAGUAGCAGUUCUGGUCAGAAACUAGGGAAACUAGUUUUCGGCUCAAGUUCAAGCCCUCAUGCUCCAAAAGAAAUACCAAAGGUGCGUUUACUUGCACAGUAUUUGUGUUUUUUUUCUCUCUUUCCUGCGUUUGUCGUGCUAGAAUAGCUAUCUGUUUUCCCUGUGUUUGAAGCUUGUAUCCUAUCAUUUUGUUGUUAACUUUCCUAAAAAAGGUUCACCUACCAUAAUUUGAGCUCUGAAUGAAUACCUACCAAAUUUCGGACCUUCUUUCCAACAAAUUUGAGCAUCUGCAACUCAAAUGGCAUCAAAAAAAAUCUUUUCCUUUCUUCAUUUGAAGAGCCACUGGGGCGUAACCGUAUUUUUUCAUUGUAUACAAUUCUUUGUUGAACAAAUAGAGCAGUUUGUUCUGAAACUUCGAGAUUAAUUUGCUUUAUUUGUGUAGGCUCCUAGGAAAGAAACGAAGACGGAGUCGCCGCAGCAAGAAGAGCCAAAAUUCCAACCAUUUACAGGGAAGAGCUUUUCCUUUAAGGAUUAAUCAGGACCUGCGAAGAUAAGUACGUCGGUUGAGAAUGUCAUCAGGAAUUAGGCUUAUCGUCGUUACACGCCAUGUUUUCGCCAGUGAAAUACCUCUACUGUAUAUCAUUUUUUCUAUUCUUUCAUUCUUUAUUUUCUCUUCUUCUUGAAAAAUAUAGCAUGUAGUCAAGGUAGGUGCUAUUUAAAACAUUUUUGAGUUUACAAUUUGAUGAACUGUAGCAUUAAUGAAUUAUUCAGGUUUGUCGCUUCAGAUUUUAGUGCUAGAAGAUCGUGGGUCCAUGAAAACAGUGGAAACCAUCAUCCACAAUUAUCUGACUGGUUGUAACUUCUCCAAUUUUUCGUUCGUGCGAUCGAAUUUGAGUUUCCAGAAUUUAAAUUUAGUACGACGAAUCCGUGUUUAAAAUAAGUCAAGAUCUAAAAUUUGGCCUUGACAACUACAAAUUGGGCCAACUAAUUGGGCCACAUGUUCUCUUAGUUUCGAUGGUUUAAUGGGGUUACUUCCUUUCCAAAUUGGCCACUUAGGGCGUGUUUGUUUUUCCUAAAAUCUUGGGACGAACUUUCAAGUUGGUUUUCACGGGAAUGGUGAGUUUGCGUACAGCGUGAACCCGUGACUUUGUGCUCGACGAGCGUGAUGUCGAGUUCCACCGCAAAAACAGAACUCGCAGAAUUCGACGGAUGCGGUUUUGCAGAGACAAACGCGUCCUGAAUGCAUUAGAGAACAGCGCAAACAAACCAUGCAACGUGCUGGUCGGCGUUCUGCAGCCUGGCCUUGGUUGUCUGGAACUAAAAUAUGGCAUCUAUCAGCAAACACUUUUUCGUCGCUAUCUCUAUUCUUUCUUAUUUUUGGUGGGAAAAAAGAAGUUUUGGAGUGAUCUCAGCUUUAGUACAGUUGAAGAACAUCAGCUAAAUCUUAAAAAUCAGAUUUUUUUUUUUGUUUUUUACUUUGCGAACAAUUAAUUUAUUUCAUUUAACUUGUAUUUUAAUUUUUUUAUUAUCUUUUCAAUUGGCUGCAGCGUGCGGCUAUUGUCGGAUCGUUGGCGCUAAUAAUUGAUCCCAAAAGUUCGAGCUAUUAGAAAUAUGCAACUAAUUCACUUAAAACGUACAGAUACAGCGCCUACGAGUCUCGAUUGUGACUCAGUCCAAUCAGCCUUAUACAACUUCGAACAUGAUUCAGUCCACCCGGCCUCACGCCAUUUCGAACAUGACUCGGCCCAACAUGAUCUUCCGUCACGGGACGGAAUGCUGACCGAUUUAAGCCAACAACUAUCACAUGAUUAUAUAAUCCAAUCGAAAUUCUAUUGCGAGGCCAAAACUUGCUUUUGGCUUCAAAUUUUGAUAGAUGAUUGCAGUGUGCCAACAAAAUUAUGCCUCGUGAUUGAUCAGAACAAAUGGAUUGCUUUUGAUUUCCGUAACUUCUUAAAUGGAUCAGGAUCUAGCAGGGAUCCUGUCCGAUUCGCAAGUUGCAGUAGACAUGAUCUUUGAAAUUUCUUUUUCCCACCCUCAAUAAAAAUAAAGAUUUUUUGUUUGCGUAUAUAAUGUGACCAAAAUAUAUCACUCGUACGUGGGUCUCUCUCAUCAGAAAUUUGGACCACUAUAAGAGCACAUUUGGUGCACUAUGUAUGUAAGAGAAAAAUAUAAUUAAAAAAAUAAAUUGCACUGCUAGUCUCUGAACUUUUAUCAUGUUUCAUUUUGAUCCUUUUACCAUUUGAGACCUUAUAAUUUUUUUUUGAGGUUCAAUCAUUAUAUAUAUAUAAAAAAAUUAUAAAUCAAGCGAUGGUAGAGUUGAGAUAUGUGAUAGAAAAAAUAGUCAAUAAAUGUAUACUACACAGAUGUAUAAGUAUACUGAGUGUAUAGAAUAAUUUAUCAUCUAAUUAAUAGUAAAGGGCCAAAAACAAGUUGUGAUUUUCAGUUGGGCAAAAAACUUUUCUCUAAUAUCGUAUUAAUAACUACAUUUUUCAAAAUUCAAGUUGAAUUUGGGCUUGUAUUUUUGUUAAUGAAUAACUCCAACUAAUAAAUUUAAAAUUUCCAGUACGGGGUAGCUCUGCGCGCGCUUUCAUGCCCCAUAAAAUCAAUUUUAUCCAAAAAAAAAAAAAGGACCAAAUUUUAAGUCCUAUAUUAUAUGUAAUAAGUGAUUGAGUUACUUCGACAGAUCACGCCAUGAAAGCGCUUCUCUUCUCUCCUUUGAAAUCGAGAGCCUCGUCCACAUGCUCUUGACCCCUCCACACAGUUUUUGGGAUCCUUCCGACAUGCCCGUGCUUUAAUUUUCGUACAAAAUACGCUACAAAUUAAGCGGCGUCACUAUUGUGCAUUUAUUCCCCAUCAUCCAAUGUGCAUUUAUCAGGCAUUCCAUGUUGUUCUACGAUAGCUUAUAUUUUUAGAAAUAAUGGUUAUUAUUAUUAUUAUUAUUAUUUUACGCAGCAUUAAAAGCAGGGGAGUUCACGUUCAAAUUUUUAUUAGAUUUUUAAUUUAAUCCAAGUGUAUAUAAUUUUAGCUCUAUAAUUAAACUACCAAGUAAGCGUAAAUCAUCAAUGCAUUCAUUUCCUUUACAUUAUUAAAUACUUUAUAAUUAAUUUCUAGUCCCUCAUAGGGGUGUCAAUAUUUGGAUAAUACCAAUACUUACCAAAACCUUUCCUAAAAACCCGUAUUUACCAAUUCUCAAGAGGAGAACUUGAAUGGUCAAUCAUCAGAUAACUUAGUACCAAGUAACUAGUAAUUAAUGUUGUAGCACAAAUUGUUUUGAUGGUUUUUUUUGCAUUUAGAUCCCUCAAUUUUUUUUUUACAAUUGGUACUAGCAAAUUUAUAUUCGCAUAUAUGACUCUAUUCUUUCCACGCAAACGUCAUGUUAAUAUUUUUAAGGUGAGCACGAUGAUUGAAUUACUGUAUUUAUAUUCACACUAUAGUUCCUUUUUUAAAACUUUUAGGCAAUAAAAAAUACAAAAAGGAAUAUGAUGAUUUAAUUACAGUGUUUAAAUAAAAUACUUGGAUCACUGUGUUCAACUUCAAAAUGCCACAUAAGCACUUGCGUGACAAGUUAUGCAAAUAUAAAUAUGUCAGAGUCAUUUGUAAUUUUUUUUUGGAAAAACUUAAAAAAUCCCUUGUGGUUUCGUACUUUUUCACUUUAGUAUCCUAUACUUUAAAAUGUAACAAGUUAGUACCCUGUGGUUUCGCACUUUUUCACUUUAGUACCAUGUGGUUUAAAUUGUAUCAAGUUAGUACUCUGUGGUUGCAUUUUUGUAUCAAAUUAGUAUUCUGUGGUUUCAUUUUUCUCUUUUUAUUAUCCAUUUUAGGGUAUUUUUUUCGUUAAAUCAGUGACAAAGUUAAUACUAAAGGAUAUUAAAAUAAAUAUUCGAUAAAUCUAGGUAGGGUAUCUGAGGUUUUUAGUAUAUAAUUUAACGAAAUAUUAAACCACAGGGUACUAAAGUAAGAAAAUGUGAAACCACAGGGUACUAACUUGAUACACUUUAAAUCACUGGGUACUAAAGUGAGAAAGUGCGAAACCACAUGGUACUAACUUGAUACAUUUUAAACCAUAGGGUACUAAAGUGGGAAAGUGCAAAACCACAUGGAGGGUAUUUGAAAUUUUCUUUUUUCUUAUUUGAGAGGCUAA